rnacentral:rRNA from 1 species
GCAAGUCUGGUGCCAGCAGCCGCGGUAAUUCCAGCUCCAAUAGCGUAUAUUAAAGUUGUUGCAGUUAAAAAGCUCGUAGUUGAAUUUCGGGAUCAAUAUUUCGGUCAUGCCGUUGGUAUGCACUGUUAUCAUUGAUUUCUCACCUUCUAAAGAACCAUAAUGCCAUUAAUUUGGUGUUACGGGGAAUUAGGACUGUUACCUUGAAAAAAUUAGAGUGUUUAAAGCAGGCUCACGCUUGAAUACAUUAGCAUGGAAUAAUGAAAUAGGACAUCCGAUUCUAUUUUGUUGGUUUCUAGGAUCGAUGUAAUGAUUAAUAGGGAUAGUUGGGGGCAUUAGUAUUCAAUUGUCAGAGGUGAAAUUCUUGGAUUUAUUGAAGACUAACUACUGCGAAAGCAUUUGCCAAGGAUGUUUUCAUUAAUCAAGAACGAAAGUUAGGGGAUCGAAGACGAUCAGAUACCGUCGUAGUCUUAACCAUAAGCUAUGCCGACUAGGGAUCGGAUGAUGUUAAUUUUUUAAUGACUCAUUCGGCGCCUUACGGGAAAC